rfam:Oryza sativa Japonica Group DNA, chromosome 2, cultivar: Nipponbare, complete sequence.
UUUAAGUGCAACCAUGAGUUUCCGUGCCUAACUUUGAUCAUUCGUCUUAUUUAAUUUUUUUUUGUAAUUAGUAUUAUUAUUAUUAUUAUUAGAUGAUAAAACAUGAAUAGUACUUUAUGCGUGACUAAUGUUUUUGAUUUUUUUUAAAAAAAUUCAAAUAAGACGGACGAUCAAAAUUGAGCACAGAAAAUCAUGGCUGCAUUUAAA